GAUGAACGCUGGCGGCGUGCCUAAUACAUGCAAGUCGAGCGAACGGACGAGAAGCUUGCUUCUCUGAUGUUAGCGGCGGACGGGUGGGUAACACGUGGAUAACCUACCUAUAAGACUGGGAUAACUUCGGGAAACCGGAGCUAAUACCGGAUAAUAUUUUGAACCGCAUGGUUCAAAAGUGAAAGACGGUCUUGCUGUCACUUAUAGAUGGAUCCGCGCUGCAUUAGCUAGUUGGUAAGGUAACGGCUUACCAAGGCAACGAUGCAUAGCCGACCUGAGAGGGUGAUCGGCCACACUGGAACUGAGACACGGUCCAGACUCCUACGGGAGGCAGCAGUAGGGAAUCUUCCGCAAUGGGCGAAAGCCUGACGGAGCAACGCCGCGUGAGUGAUGAAGGUCUUCGGAUCGUAAAACUCUGUUAUUAGGGAAGAGCAUAUGUGUAAGUAACUGUGCACAUCUUGACGGUACCUAAUCAGAAAGCCACGGCUAACUACGUG
rnacentral:rRNA from 1 species